UCGCGACGAUUGCCAUGGUAUCUUUCGUUAUCACACACCAACGAGACUCUUCGGACGUUUAACGAGUAUAGAGAAUAGGAAUCGAAAUGUAAAAGAGAAGAAUACUGUUACUAUUGGGAUCGGUGUAUUACGUGCAUGCUUACGAGAUAUUAAUCGAAGCGGAGAAUAGGAGGAAAAAGUGGCGGUCAAUUCCGUCCACGAAGCGCAAUUGUCGACCGACACGGAAACUUCCCAGCGGAAAGAAACACACAGAAGGUUGUUCCCAUUUCGUCGACGGACUUGGCCUGGUUGCCGAAUUUGCCAGCCCUUUUUCAUUAAUUAGUAUGUAGUACUUAGGCAGCGGAGAAAAUAGACACUUUUACAAAUGAA